rnacentral:tRNA from 1 species
GCCCCGGUAGCUCAGAUGGAUAGAGCAUGAGACUUCUAAGCUUAUGGCCACUGGUUCGAAUCCAGUCCGGGGUACCA